GUUCUGGCUUUUACAUGAUCCGCAUCGAGGAGCCUUUUACAGAAGUGGCUCCAGGAGCAUCCACAUCUGCCUCUCGGGGCCCACGGGGCCCAGGCCAGCUACAGAAGCACCCUGCUUUCCAUGGGAAAAUGCUGCAAAUGGGGGAGAAAGGAGAGAAGGGUUUCAGACUGCAAAGACCCUUCGACAUCAGCUAGCACCAAGUUCCAUCAUGUAAAUAAACUGAAGGGCUUCAGACCGGGAGUGAAGCCAAGCAGACCUCCCCACUGUCACUGUCCAGCCUGAAGCCGCCCUGGUGAAGCAGGUGGAGGAGCAGCUCCAGGCCCGGCUCCCCGGCCUCCCUCCCUCAGCUCCAGGGCACUCACGUGCUUGAAACAGCUGACGGGAGCAGCCUUGUAACUGUGAUCCUUCAGGAACUUCCCCCAGUCGAAGCCCAAGACCAGAGCUGCAGAGCAGAGAGGACGAGUCAGACUAGGAGCCUGCGCAGCAGCCACUCCAGGAGCCUGGACCCCAAGGGCCCUGUGGGACCUGCAGAGGUGAUCCCAACAUGCAGGCAAAUUUGGGAAGCAGUGUUGCAGAUGCUGGUCCCAGCUACUGGGAAACAAGGUAAGAUGAGGCCCCUGAGAUGAGGUUCCAGCCUCAAUUCCGCCAUUCUCCUCCUACAGAGCCACACUAGGUAUGUCAUUCUACCUCCUUGGACCUCAGUAUACUUAUCAAUAAAUGUGUGGGUUCAACACCACAUCCAAGAAUCUUUCCAUCUCUAAAGAUUCUAUAAAUAUCAGUAAUUUAGAAAAUUGGCAAGACUUUCUAGGUAGCUGCCUGUGACAUGGAGUCCGAGGAGGCAUGGUCUUCCUGAAGCCACCGUGGCUGGUGAACCUUGGGCCUGUUUCCCAACUUCCUUUGAAAGGAUUUAUAAAAGUGUGGGGUGAAGACCAAGGGUGUCAGACUCCCCCAUAGUUCUUGUUUAAAAUGUACUGAAUACACCAGACUCUGGGGGAUGAUGGUAGGUAAUGGAGCGUAGCUUCAGGAACCUAUAAUUUAAAAAGCUCCACAAAUGGAUUCUACUGUCCUCUGAAGUUUGAGAACAUAAUAAAUACCAGCUGGCCACAAGCAAGGACCUUUUCAAACUUUCCUGGCCCUGGCCUUCAGUCACUUGGUGGUUCCUGUCUCAGCACCAAAGGCACCGGGAAGGAUCCAAGUGAUUGCCUCUCACCUGUAACCUAGCCAAGAUACUGGCUUUCUUGGAGUUGGAGGAGUAGCUCCUGGAGCAGGAGACGCUGCAGAACCUCUUGGUCUUGGAGAAGAAGGCUUCCCUUGUACCCACGAUACCACACAUCUCACAGACAGCUGGGAAGAGAACUUAGCACAUGACUCACCCGAUAUGACCACCUCAAAGCAAACAAAGUGAUGGGCCCUUCAAAACCUGGGGCACUGCAUUAACCAGGGGACACUCUGAAGGCACCUGGCUCAGAACCACUGCCAUCCAAGGAGCGAGGAGUCCCAGGGCUGAGCAAAUGCAGCGGGGAGGUCGGCAGUUCCCCUGCUUCCCGAUCCUCAUUUUCUGCUUCACUUGACUCCUCCAGAUAGGAGCUGCUCUCACUGCCCACACUGCUGUUAUAACUCCGGAAACUAUCAUAGCCACCAAACAGCUCCAAGUCGUCAUCUUCCUCUUCCUCCAUUGGUUCUGAAGAUGGGGUCUCCUAAUGGAGGAUGACACAAACCAGGUAGAAAGAAUUAUGAUUGGCUUUAGUGCACGGGGGGAGAAGCUGCAGAUCUGCUAUCAGCCCCCUCACACUUUCGGGAACCUUUCAAAUACCCCUUUUACAAACACCAAGAUCAUUACUUCUAUUUACACAUUUCUCCACCAUGAUGCAAUUCAACAGCUUAACAAGACAGAAAAUAUGUGUUAGGAAUUCACCAGGCUCCUCUGUGGAUUUACAAAUGAUGAUAUUUUAACAUGGUUCAAAUAGAAUACUGUAUAACAAUGUGGGCCAGGUGCGGUGGCUCAUGCCUGUAAUCCUAGCACUUUGGGAGGCCGAGGCUGGCAGAUCACCUGAGGUCAGGAGUUCGAGACCAGCCUGGCCAAGAGGGUGAAACCCUGUCUCUACAAAAAAAUACAAGAAAAAAUUAGCCAGGCGUGGUGGCGGGCACCUGUAGUCCAGCUACUUGGGAGGCUGGGGCAGAGAAUUGCUUGAACCCAGGAGGCAAAGGUUGUAGUGGGCCAAGAUCGUGCCACUGCACUCCAGUCUGCGUGACAGAGCAAGACUCCAUCUCAAAAAAAAAAAAAAAGUGAAAUAUCCUAAGGUACUUCACAAAGACUUUCUGGGGUAGAAGAUAUAUUAGAAAUUAAUUCUUAGCCAGGCACAGUGGCCCACACCUGUAAUCCCAGCACUUUCCGAGGCCAAGGUGGGUGGAUCACGAAGUCAGGAGUUCAAGACCAACCUGGCCAAGAUGGUGAAACCCCGUCUCUACUAAAAAUACAAAAAUUGGCUGGGUGUGGUGGCGGGUGCCUGUAAUCCCAGGUACUUGGGAAGCUGAGGCAGAGAAUUGCUUGAACCCGGGAGGUGGAGGUUGCAGCGAGCUAAGAUCGCGCCACUGCACUCCAGCCUGGUAAUGGAGUGAGAUGCUGUCUCAAAAAGAAAAACAAAAAUUCUUCCCCGUUCAAUAUACAUCAAAAUGAUCUCAACUCAGAAACAAUUUAAGUCACAGAAAAGUUAAUUUGGGACCUAGACUGCUCCAAAGAGGAUGGGAGAGGCAGAUGACACACAGAUAACUGUGGCAUCUUGGUGUGUACUACAGCGCUAGAUUCAGCUCUGAGCCUAACUAGCUAUAGGGCCUUGGGCA
ensembl:lncRNA L3MBTL2-AS1 L3MBTL2 antisense RNA 1